AGCAAAUGCUUGAGAAAGAAAGCAGUGUUCAGAACAAGUAGAAUGGAAAGAAAUUAGGAAUGGGAGUAGUGCAGAGCAGCUUGAACUAAUGCACUGGGAAUGGAAAUGAGAGAACAGGCAAAACAUUUGAGAAAGUCGAUUUGAAAAGGCAGAUUGUUUAUGUUGGACAGUACUACAGAAGGACUAAGUAUAUAGGAAACUUGACUUAUUUAAAUAAGGCAGUGAAAAAAAUAGAAUAUGGGGAGUAAAACAACCUCUGAAGCUAAGUCUGCAUAUAUAAUAACUGGGCAGGGAUGGAGAUAUGUUUUAGACAUGGAACAUUUGAGAGGAUAAAAGAAGCAUGAAA
rnacentral:lncRNA from 1 species